GGUUACUGGUUGCAUCACUGUAGAAUAGUGAUGACGGACAAUGAUAUCAGUGUUUACCUUUUUAGACACAAGAUUUCCACUGCUUCCACAUGGUAAAUAUCCCUUGCUUUCCAAUCUUGUAGAGACACCUGUAUGUCCUUCCUGGCUUAAAGAGUUAAUACAAGGAGUGUCAGUUUUUGUAUUUAUUAGAUUCUGGGAAUUUUUAUUUCUCAAACUAUAUUUAGUAAAAAAAUAAUGAAAGGUGAAAUAGAUAGAUCAUGCCCUUGCAGUAUUACUGCACAUUUCUCUGCCAUUUAGGAGUUAAAUCACUUUUGUUUCUGUUUACGCAGCCCUAGUCACACCUCCCCUCACUGUGACUCACACAGUCAGCAUGAAAAUAUGGUUUCAUUUUCAAUCAGAUGUUAACUUGCUUUUUAAAAGUUUCCAUCUCC